UGGGGAAUAUUGGACAAUGGGGGCAACCCUGAUCCAGCCAUGCCGCGUGAGUGAUGAAGGCCUUAGGGUUGUAAAGCUCUUUCGCCCGGGACGAUAAUGACGGUACCGGGUAAAGAAGCCCCGGCUAACUUCGUGCCAGCAGCCGCGGUAAUACGAAGGGGGCUAGCGUUGUUCGGAAUCACUGGGCGUAAAGCGCGCGUAGGCGGGUCGUUAAGUCGGGGGUGAAAGCCCGGGGCUCAACCUCGGAAUAGCCUUCGAUACUGGCGAUCUUGAGUCCGGGAGAGGUGAGUGGAACUCCGAGUGUAGAGGUGAAAUUCGUAGAUAUUCGGAAGAACACCAGUGGCGAAGGCGGCUCACUGGCCCGGUACUGACGCUGAGGCGCGAAAGCGUGGGGAGCAAACA
rnacentral:rRNA from 1 species